ACCUGGCAUUGGAUAUACAAUGAUCAACACGCUUCAAUGUGUCUGUCCAAACUAGCCUAAUGUUCCAGAAUGUGUGAAAACAUCAAAGGACGAUGACAUCACAUUAAAGGACGAUGACAUCACAUCAAAGGAGGAAGACAUCACAACAAAGGACGAUGACAUCAC